UUAGAUAACUAGAUAUCUCGAAGGCAUCAGAUCCCAUCUGAUCUUGGAUGCUAAACAAGCUCAGCCCUGGUUAGUAUUUGGAUGGUACAAGGCCAAAGAAUAUCAAGUGUUGUGGAUU
rnacentral:rRNA from 11 species